rnacentral:rRNA from 1 species
GAUCAUGGCUCAGGACGAACGCUGGCGGCGUGCCUAACACAUGCAAGUCGAACGAGAAUCUUUGAACAGAUCUUUUCGGAGUGACGUUCAAAGAGGAAAGUGGCGGACGGGCGAGUAACGCGUGAGUAACCUGCCCAUAAGAGGGGGAUAAUCCAUGGAAACGUGGACUAAUACCGCAUAUUGUAGUUAAGUUGCAUGACUUGAUUAUGAAAGAUUUAUCGCUUAUGGAUCGGACUCGCGU